GAUGAACGCUGGCGGCGUGCCUAAUACAUGCAAGUCGAGCGAAUGGAUUAAGAGCUUGCUCUUAUGAAGUUAGCGGCGGACGGGUGAGUAACACGUGGGUAACCUGCCCAUAAGACUGGGAUAACUCCGGGAAACCGGGGCUAAUACCGGAUAACAUUUUGAACCGCAUGGUUCGAAAUUGAAAGCCGGCUUCGGCUGUCACUUAUGGACUGACCCGCGUCGCAUUAGCUAGUUGGUGAGGUAACGGCUCACCAAGGCAACGAUGCGUAGCCGACCUGAGAGGGUGAUCGGCCACACUGGGACUGAGACACGGCCCAGACUCCUACGGGAGGCAGCAGUAGGGAAUCUUCCGCAAUGGACGAAAGUCUGACGGAGCAACGCCGCGUGAGUGAUGAAGGCUUUCGGGUCGUAAAACUCUGUUGUUAGGGAAGAACAAGUGCUAGUUGAAUAAGCUGGCACCUUGACGGUACCUAACCAGAAAGCCACGGCUAACUACGUGCCAGCCGCCGCCGUAA
rnacentral:rRNA from 1 species